rnacentral:rRNA from 1 species
GUCCCUACGGGGCGCAGCAGUGAGGAAUAUUGGUCAAUGGCCGGAAGGCUGAACCAGCCAAGUCGCGUGAGGGACGACUGCCCUAUGGGUUGUAAACCUCUUUUAUAAGGGAAGAAUAAAUGCUACGUGUAGCAUGAUGCCUGUACCUUAUGAAUAAGCAUCGGCUAACUCCGUGCCAGCAGCCGCGGUAAUACGGAGGAUGCGAGCGUUAUCCGGAUUUAUUGGGUUUAAAGGGUGCGUAGGCGGUUUGUCAAGUCAGCGGUAAAAAUUCCGGGCUCAACCCGGUCCCGCCGUUGAAACUGGCG